GACGAACGCUGGCGGCGUGCUUAACACAUGCAAGUCGAACGGUAAGGCUCCAGCUUGCUGGGGUACACGAGUGGCGAACGGGUGAGUAACACGUGGGUGACCUGCCCUGCACUUCGGGAUAAGCCUGGGAAACUGGGUCUAAUACCGGAUAGGACCGCACCGUGAGGGUGUGGUGGAAAGUUUUUUCGGUGUGGGAUGGGCCCGCGGCCUAUCAGCUUGUUGGUGGGGUAAUGGCCUACCAAGGCGGCGACGGGUAGCCGGCCUGAGAGGGUGGACGGCCACAUUGGGACUGAGACACGGCCCAGACUCCUACGGGAGGCAGCAGUGGGGAAUAUUGCACAAUGGGCGGAAGCCUGAUGCAGCGACGCCGCGUGGGGGAUGACGGCCUUCGGGUUGUAAACUCCUUUCCCCAUCGACGAAGGGUUUCUGACGGUAGAUGGAGAAGAAGCACCGGCUAACUACGUG
rnacentral:rRNA from 1 species